AGCCAUGUGGUGUAAUGGCUUGAGUGUUGAACUACGACUCUGGAGACCAGGGUUCGAUUCCCUGCUUGGCUA